rnacentral:rRNA from 1 species
UGCUCCCGGAUGUUAGCGGCGGACGGSYGAKUAACACGUGGGUAACCUGCCUGUAAGACUGGGAUAACYCCSGGAAACCGGAGCUAAUACCGGAUAGUUCCUUGAACCGCAUGGUUCAAGGAUGAAAGACGGUUUCGGCUGUCACUUACAGAUGGACCCGCGGCGCAUUAGCUAGUUGGUGGGGUAAKGGCUCACCRRGGCGACGAUGCGUAGCCGACCUGAGAGGGUGAUCGGCCACACUGGGACUGAGACAC